GACGAACGCUGGCGGCGUGCUUAACACAUGCAAGUCGAACGGUGAAGCACCUUCCUUUUGGUGGGUGUGGAUGAGUGGCGAACGGGUGAGUAACACGUGAGUAACCUGCCCCCUUCUUCUGGAUAACCGCAUGAAAGUGUGGCUAAUACGGGAUAUUCUGUGCCUGCUGCAUGGUGGGUGUGGGAAAGAUGCGCUUUUGGGUGUUUUUGGUGGGGGAUGGGCUCGCGGCCUAUCAGCUUGUUGGUGGGGUGAUGGCCUACCAAGGCGGUGACGGGUAGCCGGCCGGAGAGGGUGGACGGUCACACUGGGACUGAGACACGGCCCAGACUCCUACGGGAGGCAGCAGUGGGGAAUAUUGCACAAUGGGCGCAAGCCUGAUGCAGCGACGCCGCGUGAGGGAUGGAGGCCUUCGGGUUGUAAACCUCUUUCGCCAGUGAAGCAGGCCUGUCCCUUGUGGGUGGGUUGACGGUAGCUGGAGAAGAAGCGCCGGCUAACUACGUG
rnacentral:rRNA from 1 species